rnacentral:rRNA from 1 species
UACGUAGGGGGCAAGCGUUGUCCGGAUUUAUUGGGCGUAAAGAGCUCGUAGGUGGUUUGGUAAGUCGGAUGUGAAAUCUCCAGGCUCAACCUGGAGGGGUCAUUCGAUACUGCCAUGACUAGAGGUCGGUAGGGGAGUGUGGAAUUCCUGGUGGAGCGGUGAAAUGCGCAGAUAUCAGGAGGAACACCAAUGGCGAAGGCAGCUCGCUGGGACGGUACUGACGCUGAGACGCGAAAGCGUGGGGAGCGAACAGG